rnacentral:rRNA from 1 species
UGAGGGUGCGAAAGCGUGGGUAGCAAACAGGAUUAGAUACCCUGGUAGUCCACGCCGUAAACGAUGUCGACCAGCCGUUGGGUGCCUAGCGCACUUUGUGGCGAAGUUAACGCGAUAAGUCGACCGCCUGGGGAGUACGGCCGCAAGGUUAAAACUCAAAUGAAUUGACGGGGGCCCGCACAAGCGGUGGAGCAUGUGGUUUAAUUCGAUGCAACGCGAAGAACCUUACCUACUCUUGACAUCCUGCGAAUUUGGUAGAGAUACCUUAGUGCCUUCGGGAACGCAGAGACAGGUGCUGCAUGGCUGUCGUCAGCUCGUGUUGUGAAAUGUUGGGUUAAGUCCCGUAACGAGCGCAACCCUUGUCCUUAUUUGCCAGCGCGUAAUGGCGGGAACUCUAAGGAGACUGCCGGUGACAAACCGGAGGAAGGUGGGGACGACGUCAAGUCAUCAUGGCCCUUACGAGUAGGGCUACACACGUGCUACAAUGGUCGGUACAAAGGGUUGCCAACUCGCGAGAGUGAGCCAAUCCCGAAAAGCCGAUCUCAGUCCGGAUCGGAGUCUGCAACUCGACUCCGUGAAGUCGGAAUCGCUAGUAAUCGUGGAUCAGAAUGCCACGGUGAAUACGUUCCCGGGCCUUGUACACACCGCCCGUCACACCAUGGGAGUGGACUGCACCAGAAGUGGUUAGCCUAACGC